rnacentral:lncRNA from 1 species
CGUUGCCUGAGGUGUGACGAGUGGCGCUACAAUAUCUGCUAUGAUCCUGUAGUACCAACAUGACGAUAUAUCGGAAUAUUGUAAGUCGAUUGGGGUCGAUCUUAGCGUAUGCAGAAAGGAACUGCAAAAAAAAAGAUGUUUGAUUUGUAAAAAUAAAUAUUGUAAUAGAUAAAUUGUGAAAAAAAAAAACAAAACUAGACUAUAUUCAGAAGGGAAAACGAAGCAAUAAAAUCAGCACAUUCGGACGGCUUUGUUACAAGUACCAACAUAAUGUAAUGAUAAUAGUAAAAUAUUAGCAUUUGUGUAAGGAGAUUUUAUCAUUACAAUAAGGUCCAAUUUUCCCCACCGCUGUGUUUCAGAACUAUGACGUAACAGGUUACUUAUACGUAGCUAACCGUAACUUCUUAUGAACCCUGAUAUAAAUAAUGCUUAUAUUAGUGCUUGUUCUAUCUUCACUCGUGAAUUGUGCAUAAAGGAUCUAAGUUAAUCACUUAAUCAAUAUCAUCAAUACUUUAAAUAUGUUAGAAGAAUCAAAGAUUGGUUACUUCUUUCCUUAUGAACCAGGAACUUACUUUGUUGUACAAAAUAAGUUUAUGUUGCUCUCUUUUGUUGUAUAUUUCAUGUAAGUAUUAUUAUUAUCUAAACUAUUGUUGUUUUUCUUUAAGUUUCAUUAAUAUUUUAUUUGUAAAUUGUAAUUUGACAUUCCAGUAAUCGAUCGAUUAAUAUUCGUUAAAAACUGACAUACGUCACAACAUGGAGAUGUAAGAAAAUGUCUAAACUCAGUAAAUUGUAAAUAUUAUUUGAUAAAAAUUAAAACUAUGAAGUUUAUUAUUAAAAUAUCAAAGUAUUCCACAAAAUGGACGCUUUAUCUUACAAAAUGUAUUUUUAUGUGAACAUUGUUAUAGAAUUAAAUUUUGAAACUUGCUGCCUGCCACUGUAUUAGACUUUAGACUCUAGCACUAUCAAUUUAUUUAUCACUAUAGCCUGAACAGUUAGAAAAUAGUGGCAUUGAUGUAAUAUGUAGUAUAAGUGAGACUUAAAAAAGUAGAGUUAAAAAAUAAGGGUGAAUAUCCAUCAACAGUAUUAAACAUGUAAUGUAACAUGCAACAAACCGCUCAGAAGUAUAUGGUGAUCAGUGAGUACAUAUGAGAUGUAACAUUGCUGUAUGAUGGCAUACUUAUGUUACAUUAACUAUAACAUGAGCUUGUUAGCGGUCUAUACUCACCCUAUCACUUAAAUUUAGUCAUAAUUUAUAGAUAGGAAUAAUAUUGUAUACCUGUCCAUUGCCAAAGAAGCAUUAUUUUGCUUUAUUAAUCAAACACAUAUUAACAGUUAUUUAAUUGCUAUAUGUAAUUAUUAUUUAAAAAAAAAAAGAUUAAUUGAGCAAAUAUAAUGUUCCCAAACCCUUGUGUUGUGUCCCGUUCUUCCGAUUUGCAUUUAUGAUAAUUAUUAAUAAGGCAUCAAGUUUCAACGUCGAGACGGCCCUCCAAUCUUAAAACCAUCGAAAUAUAAAUGAAUAACGCUUAUGGAGCGUAUAUUUACAAAUUAUUUUUGUACAUAGACUUAUUAUAUUGUGCUGCGUCUACCUACCUGUGUAACGUAUAUUGUAUCAUGUAAUGCAACGCAAAUAGUUGUAAUAACCUGGGUUCAUGUUGUAAGUAAAUAGAUGCUUUAUUAAUAUAGGACUAUGGUCUUAUUAAUAUUACUUUUAAUUCUUACAGCACACUUUGUUAUCAUCAUAGAUUAGUUACCACAGAGCAGAGCGAGUCAAUCCGUUCGGAAACACAUUACAACAGUUCACCUAAAUACCGGUAUCAGAUUGAAUGGCCUGCCGGCACAUACGUUACAUUACACAUAUUACAAUGCAUGUUACACACGUGUGGACCCAGCUUUAUAGAAUGUCAAAAGAUUAUAGAGUAGGUGGUCGCCCAUUGGUUUGUAUGGUUUAGCUAAAUUUACCUGUUGCACUUAAUGCGUAGUUGUGCGACAAUAUGUUUACAUUUCUGUGCCAAAAAUGGGUGUGAAAAUGUAAACGUCAUCAAUGUUUGAUUAGACAAAAUGAUUCUCUAACAAAACUCUUCUUAGAACCGGCUCUAAGUAUAAUCUGUAGGCAAAGUAGGCGUUCAGUAAUAGUAAAAUUUAAUAGAUGCAAAACCGCCUUAAAGAGUCAUUCUGUUUGUUCCUGAAUUUAUAGUAUUGAAAAGUAUUUAUCAUAAGCACCAGUGUUCAAUAAUGUUAUAAUUAACACUAGUGUAUGGUAAGCCUUAGAUAAAACACUAUAUAAGGUGAUACCUAGAUCACUGGUUUCCUUUACAUUUUGCUCCACAAAUUACAACCUAAAAAGUGAACUAUUAAAAAUAAAAAUAUAACACGUGAAGAAUCCUAACAAUACCCCAUUCAUAACUAUUCAUACGUCGUGAAGCUGACCUGACGUUGUUCUGUCCAUAGCUAGUAGUUUAUUUGGAAUAAAUGAGGUUUUCGUUUUUCCGGGCAAUUUUUCCAAUUUUUCUCUUCAUAUAAAUUGCCGAAUUCGAGUCGUUCUUAAAUGUAAUAUGAUAAUAUAUAAGCUUUGCCUUUAGUAACAUAUUUAGCGAUUUAUUAUUAUUUAUAU